rnacentral:rRNA from 1 species
UGGGGAAUCUUCCGCAAUGGACGAAAGUCUGACGGAGCAACGCCGCGUGAGUGGUGACGGCCUUCGGGUUGUAAAGCUCUGUUAAUCGGGACGAAUGGUUCUUGUGCAAAUAGUGCAAGGAUUUGACGGUACCGGAAUAGAAAGCCACGGCUAACUACGUGCCAGCAGCCGCGGUAAUACGUAGGUGGCAAGCGUUGUCCGGAAUUAUUGGGCGUAAAGCGCGCGCAGGCGGAUUGGUCAGUCUGUCUUAAAAGUUCGGGGCUUAACCCCGUGAUGGGAUGGAAACUGCCAAUCUAGAGUAUCGGAGAGGAAAGUGGAAUUCCUAGUGUAGCGGUGAAAUGCGUAGAUAUUAGGAAGAACACCAGUGGCGAAGGCGACUUUCUGGACGAAAACCGACGCUGAGGCGCGAAAGCCAGGGGAGCGAACGGGAUUAGAUACCCCGGUAGUCCUGGCCGUAAACGAUGGGUACUAGGUGUAGGAGGUAUCGACCCCUUCUGUGCCGGAGUUAACGCAAUAAGUACCCCGCCUGGGGAGUACGACCGCAAGGUUG